rnacentral:rRNA from 1 species
AUGCCUACGGGAGGCAGCAGUAGGGAAUCUUCCACAAUGGACGAAAGUCUGAUGGAGCAACGCCGCGUGAGUGAAGAAGGGUUUCGGCUCGUAAAGCUCUGUUGGUAGUGAAGAAAGAUAGAGGUAGUAACUGGCCUUUAUUUGACGGUAAUUACUUAGAAAGUCACGGCUAACUACGUGCCAGCAGCCGCGGUAAUACGUAGGUGGCAAGCGUUGUCCGGAUUUAUUGGGCGUAAAGCGAGUGCAGGCGGUUCAAUAAGUCUGAUGUGAAAGCCUUCUGCUCUACACGAGAAU